rnacentral:rRNA from 1 species
UACAGGGGGGGCAAGCGUUGUUCGGAAUUACUGGGCGUAAAGGGCCAGUAGGCGGCCAACUAAGUCACACGUGAAAUCCCCAGGCUUAACCUGGGAACUGCGUGUGAUACUGGAUGGCUUGAAUCCGGGAGAGGGAUGCGGAAUUCCAGGUGUAGCGGUGAAAUGCGUAGAUAUCUGGAGGAACACCGGUGGCGAAGGCGGCAUCCUGGACCGGCAUUGACGCUGAGGCGCGAAAGCCAGGGGAGCAAACGGG